rnacentral:rRNA from 1 species
AGAACGAACGCUGGCGGCAUGCCUAAUACAUGCAAGUCGAACGAAGGCUUCGGCCUUAGUGGCGCACGGGUGCGUAACGCGUGGGAAUCUGCCCCUUGGUUCGGAAUAACAGUUGGAAACGACUGCUAAUACCGGAUGAUGACGAAAGUCCAAAGAUUUAUCGCCAAGGGAUGAGCCCGCGUAGGAUUAGCUAGUUGGUGAGGUAAAGGCUCACCAAGGCGACGAUCCUUAGCUGGUCUGAGAGGAUGAUCAGCCACACUGGACUGAGACACGGCCCAGACUCUACGGAGCAGCAGUAGGGAAUAUUGGACAAUGGGCGAAAGCCUGAUCCAGCAAUGCCGCGUGAGUGAAUGAAGGCCGUUAAGGUUGUAAAGCUACUUUUAACCCGAGAUGAUAAUAGAACAGUAUCGGAAGAAAUAACGCCCCGGACUAACCUCCGUCGCCAGCAAGCCGC